rnacentral:lncRNA from 1 species
CUCCAGGAACAGGGUUGGAGUGAAAACCUACAGGAGGUAGCUCUCAGGAAAGGGUUGGAGUGAAAACCUACAGGAGGGUAGCUCUCCAGGAACAGGGUUGGAGUGAAAACCUACAGGAUGGUAGCUCUCCGAAAAGGGUUGGAGUGAAAACCUACAGGAGGGUAGCUCCAGGAACAGGGUGGAGUGAAAACCUACAGGAGGGUAGCUCUCCAGGAACAGGGUUGGAGUGAAAACCUACAGGAGGGUAGCUCUCCAGGAACAGGGUUGGAGUGAAAACCUACGGAGGGGAGCUCUCCAGGAACAGGGUUGGAGUGAAAACCUACAGGAGGGUAGCUCUCCAGGAACAGGGUUGGAGUGAAAACCUACAGGAGGGUAGCUCUCCAGGAACAGGGUUUGGAGUGAAAACCUACAGGAGGGUGAAAACUACAGGAGAGCUCUCCAGGAACAGGGUUGGAGUGAAAAUCUACAGGAGGGUAGCUCUCCAGGAAUAGGGUUGGAGUGAAAACCUAAAGGAGGGUAGCUCUCCAGGAACAGGGUUGGAGUGAAAACCUACAGGAGGGUAGCUCUCCAGGAAUAGGGUUGGAGUAAAAACCUACAGGAGGGUAGCUCUCCAGGAACAGGGUUGGAGUGAAAACCUACAGGAUGGUAGCUCUCCAGGAACAGGGUUGGAGUGAAAACCUACAGGAGGGUAGCUCUGCAGGAACAGGGUUGGAGUGAAAACCUACAGGAGGGUAGCUCUCCAGGAACAGGGUUGGAGUGAAAACCUANNNNNNNNNNNNNNNNNNNNNNNNNUUCAUAGUAGACGUCAGUCUGUCCUGCAGCUUCUCAAUGAUGUUCUUGUAGUCCCAGGGGUUGUUGGGGGCGGAGGGGCGGCUGGAGCGGGUGGAGCUCUUGUAGUUGGGGUUGGAGCGGGACAGAGAGUUGAGGGAACUGCUGCUCAGCAUGGUGGUGAUCUGAGACUCCAGGUCCAGAGGCAGGGAUAUGGAGCGGUUCUUCGCUGCACACAUAAGAUUGGAGAAAGUCAUCAUUAAGAUCAAAAGGUACUCCCAUUCAAACGAUGUAGAACAA